CCGCGCGGGCCGGCACCGGGGCGGCCGGGACGUGGGUCAUGAGGUCCGGCGCUGCCCUGCCCUGCCCUGCCCUGCCACGCGCUGCCCGACCUCGGUUUCCGAAAGAAUCCGGACACGCGGGGGUCCUCUCGUUCCCCAGGGGUCCGGGCGCCCAUCCAGAGCGCAAACCCUUCUUAGUUCGAGCUCCCAAGACCCGGGGAUCCCUAGGGCGGAGCGGGGGGGUCCGUCUUUGACCGCAUGUGACAUGUGGUCUGCGGGUUCACAACCCGGUUCAGAGCUCCCCCCAGCUCCCCCUACCCCAGCCAAGACCCCACCGGCUAAAGCCACGGGGCUGGGGAUCAGGUCUGAAAGGGCACCGUGUGACCUCAGGUAGGGCAUGUGGCUCCGUGGCCAGAGAGUACAAGUCACCCUCCUCAGCCGGCUGUUUCUCCAAAGUUCACGGGGGAGGUCAGUUUCCCAGCAUGACACAGCACGGGCGUGGGUGGCCCGGGCUGCCUUCCUUGCCUUUCCCUCACAACCCGUCCGUUCCCCUUCCUAAGCCAGGUUGGCGGUUCUGUGCCUUGUUCAGAAGCGGUUUUGACUUCAAGGAAGGCUAUGAUUUGGGUCUCGGCUCUUUUCCACGCUCCGGCCGGUGCAAGCUUGCGGAGGUUGCGCGGGCUCACACAAACGGGGGUGCAGUGUGUGUGUGGGAGGCAUCAGUACGGUAUGUUGUGUCACAGCAACGUGGGGACCCUUUCCACAGCCAAAGGCAGGAGGGGCUGCCUCGCUUCAGCUAAUAGGAAGUUGUUCACGACAGUGAGUCUCUGCCGUGGGACGCGGCAGGUGCAGCCAACCUCUAGUGCCACCCAUCAGCUGCAGGUCCUCUAGGUGUUGAGAAAGCUGCACCUGUGUAAACACACACAACUUUGCCCCUAAGGAACAGACACCUCACUCACAGGAAACUUGGCCCCCUGGAGCAGGCUUGUCAGUCACUUUCAGGAAGCUGGCAUGAUGGGACAGGCUGCCCCUCAGACCCUCCACCCACACGCCAGCACCAGGCAUCUAUCUGUCCUUUGAGUCCUGAGAUGUAUUCCAGUCUCUUUGUCUCUGGCCGUUUUGAUUGUCCUUACAGACUCCCCAAGGAUUCUGUUGUUACGGUCCUUAUGGGCAGGCCCGGCGCUUCUACUAUUUUGUGGAUUUCUGUGUCGCUUGCCUCUGGUGUGGUGGAAAGCGGCUAGUGAUGUCUUCAGACCGUUGCUCUGUUACCAACUAUUCACUUGGUUGCUGCUUCUGCUUCCUCGAGUCAGGACUCACAAAGCCUAACUCCUGCGGCCAAGCGGCCAUCUCAUCUCCACUGGGACAACGCAAACCGUGGUCCUAAACCAUGAUACCUGUUGUGGUACACAGACCGAGGUGCCCUGCAGACCACGAAGGAUACCCAUCCUGUGCUCUGUUUCCCUAGGGUCCCAUGGGGGCUGCCACAGGCUCUAAUGGACUCAUGAGCAAUUUACCCUCAUAUCCAGUGAAUGAAACUUCCAUAGGGUGAUGGUAGAGAUAAGUUUGAACUAAGACUCUUGGAGAUGCACCCUGACUACCAAAAGUGAUAUCCAACUAUGCAUACUGGAAAUGGAAGAUCAGGAGCCCUUCUCUGGCCCUGAGGAUGAGUGGGGUUGCUAGGGAGAUGCCUUUGAAACAGAGCUCCUGGGUGCUUCACUGUACCACUUCGUGUUAAUCAUUACAGACUCGCUGAUUGCAGGUGCUUCCAGCUACUGAGAACUCACCUGAAGACCAUGCAAGCAGGGGCCUCUUGCUGGUCCUGGAACUUGCCUAUUGAGCUAAGCAGGCUGACUGAUGAUGAACUUCAGGGAUCAGAAGUACCAACAGAGGUCAACUGUUGCCCAUCCAGUGCUGGUUCUUACGUCAUGUAAAGAUGGCUCAGGGCCUGUGAGGGAAAGCUGGCCACUAGAGAUGCCAAAGAGAAAGUGAGAAGCCGGAAAGAGCUGCCUUCGGGAGGAAAGAUGGAGCCCCUGACCUGCUAAGGAGCCUACGCCCAGACUCCACUCUGUGAGGCCACAACUCAAACUGAGGGGCUUGUACUCCAGCGCUUGGGAGGGUGGACGGCACUGACAACUGGGAAUCUUUUGUAAGGAAGAGUGGUCACUUCUCUUGUUAGUUUACUCAGUCACUUUGGGUUUGAUUGGUUUGGAGGACUUGCUGAAGAUGGACUUGGGGCUGUGUCCUUCCUGGCCACUCCCUGUCAUGUAUUGCCUUCAGACUCAAGCGUAUCGCUUGUCAAGUGGCCUGGACCUCAGAUGCUGUCUGGUGGCUCCUGCUCUACCUCUGCUCUUGUGUUUUGGGAAUAUUGCCUGUUUUCUGGUACUGGCUUCUUUUUAUUUCUGAGUGUGUGUGUAUGUGUGUAUGGAGGACCAAGGACAAUGUCUGAUGUACUCCCACUUUAUUCUUGAAAUAUCAGAUGCCUUUCCAUCUUUUUUUUUUUUUUUUUGAGACAGUC